UGCCAGACUCCUACGGGAGGCAGCAGUAGGGAAUUUUGCGCAAUGGGCGAAAGCCUGACGCAGCAACGCCGCGUGAUUGAUUAAGCCCUUCGGGGUGUAAAGAUCUGUCAGUGGGGACGAAACUUGACGGUACCCACAGAGGAAGCACCGGCUAAAUACGUGCCAGCAGCCGCGGUAAUACGUAUGGUGCAAGCGUUAUCCGGAUUUACUGGGUGUAAAGGGAGCGCAGGCGGCACGGCAAGCCUGAUGUGAAAGCCCGCGGCCCAACCGCGGGACUGCAUUGGGAACUACCGGGCUGGAGUGCCGGAGAGGUGGGCGGAAUUCCUAGUGUAGCGGUGAAAUGCGUAGAUAUUAGGAGGAACACCAGUGGCGAAGGCGGCCUACUGGACGGUGACUGACGCUGAGGCUCGAAAGCGUGGGGAGCAAACAGGAUUAGAUACCCGCGUAA
rnacentral:rRNA from 1 species